UUGGCCUCGGUCGCGUUGG
rnacentral:miRNA from 1 species